rnacentral:rRNA from 1 species
UACGUAGGGUGCAAGCGUUAAUCGGAAUUACUGGGCGUAAAGCGCACGUAGGCGGCUUUCUAAGUCAGGGGUGAAAUCCUGGAGCUCAACUCCAGAACUGCCUUUGAUACUGGAGAGCUUGAGUCCGGAAGAGGUGAGUGGAACUCCGAGUGUAGAGGUGAAAUUCGUAGAUAUUCGGAAGAACACCAGUGGCGAAGGCGGCUCACUGGUCCGGUACUGACGCUGAUGUGCGAAAGCGUGGGGAGCAAACAGG